AAAAUUUGGACCAAAAUCAAAAAAGGAAGAUCAAGAAUUAAACUCUAACAUUUAAAACUAGUUCAACUAAGCACAUUUAAUUAUAAAAAAAAUAUUUAAAAAAAUGAAAUUAAAAAAUAUAUAAAAUUAAAUAACAUGCAAAAGAUCAUUCCUGAUUUUGUUUGGGAUUUUUGGAUAAAAUGAAGUAUUUAAAUCAAAAAUUAAAAAGAAAAAGAAAUAAAUGUU
rnacentral:lncRNA from 1 species